GGAGGGCUUUGAAGUGCAUUUCCUUCCAUUCAGUUAUCUCCGGGAGCUCUGGAGGGUGGUGGCAGAGGUGGCUGCAUCAGUUCAUUUGUUCUCCGGGACGGGUUUUUAACCAAGUAAUUAAGGGUUGUUUUCAGUUGUACCUGAGAAUCAACCAGUGAGGCAGAGAUAAGAAAUACUUUGGAAACUGCUGACUUAAUGAGCACGAGUCCAGGCUCUUCCCAGAACACUAAUAGCAUCCAUUAAGAAAGAAAAAAAAUCCAACCCUUUAUUUUGUGGCUGCUGAAAAGCCUGUUGCUGUUAACUGCCCAUGUCUGGGUUCUGCCCAGGGAGGCUGAACUCUCCAAUUCACAGGAGGAUCCAAGCUGUUCCCUCAGAGAGACUGGGAAAGAUUAAAAGCAGCUGAAAGCAAACCAUGCUGGCUUGAUGAAUGGCAUUUGGAUGCUGUCAUGUUGUGGCUGCUGGCAUUGUCUUCCCUGAGAGCUGUAGCAUGAGCCUCCUCAAAACCAGUGCUUGGGGCAAAACCUUGAGGAGCCACGGGGCGAGAUGAGGAUCCCACCUUGCCUUUUCACUCGAGAGCUUUGCAGUGAUGAGAUGAAAUCCCAAAUUCAGAAAGGUAGUCAGAUGGUCCCAAAAGACUCAGAGAAAAAAAAACAUGAGCAAGGUGCAUUAUUAUGUUUUGAAGCCAUGAAUGUGCUUUUUGAACCUUUGAAUUUCACUGCCUUGGGUGAGGAAAGUGGGUGAACUCAAGACUGGUCAUUCCAGAGAAGGACAAGCCUGUACUUUGGGGGCUUUAAUAGAAAAUAUUGUUUAUUCAAUCAGCCUGCCCCUGUCCACAGGGAUGGUCUCCCUGGCACAAGUGAUGCUGUGAAUGUGCAUGAGGGCAGGGUUUGUCACUCCUGCUUCCCAGAAAAGCAGCACUGAUGGUGCUGAGCAAACAUCCCAACAGGAAUGAGUCCAGCGUGUGCUCAGCACCUCGCACCAUCCCUGCCACGCUCUUGGGAAGGGGGGCACAGCUGUAAGUGACAACAGGGACUGUCUGGCUGGACCAGAAUUGUCUCCAGAUGGCUGCUGUCACAUGUUUAUAUCCUCACGUGGCUUCCAAGCAAUAGGAAUGAUUAAACACAACUGGAAAAGCCACAUUUAACAGUGGCCCCCUCACCCCUAAGUAAGUACUUGAGAAAAAAAGUUCAUGCUGUUAAGGGAUGUUUUGGGCAAGUUUUUUCCCAUGUGGAGGAAGGGUGAUCUACUCAAAACAAGGAAGAGAUUCAGAAAAUCAAAGUUAAGUUCUGUGCAGACUCUCUAGCCCUUACUGGAAUUACCAAAUUCCAGAUUUUAAGGCUCUGGCCUUUAUUAUGGACUUGGUAAAGCAGGGCUAACAAUCUGUGGUUUGUGUGUUUACACUGCAAACACUUCCACAUCAAGAUUACCUCCUAGCUUGUCCAGCUGGGAAUUGUUGGUCUGAUUUUCAGAUGGAAACUGGGCACAUGAUGUUUUGUAUCAAACAGUGAGAAUUCCCAUACAUCCCUAAUGACUCAAAUAGGCAUGAUUAUUCACUCAGGUUUCCCACCCAAACAAACAGAGGAAACAGCUGUCACAACUAAAAUACCUUUCAAGAGCUCAAAAAAACGUUCCAAGCAUGGGCUGGAUUGGAAAGCUGAACACUGACUUUUGUUACACUACCAAACUACUUAACCCUCAGCAUGGGUCAAAUAAUAUAUUUAUUUUAAAUAUUCUAAUUUUUUUGACAGUUAAACUUUAUUUGAACUUUUAAUUUACAAAUUAAAUUAAGUUGAAAAGAUUAA